rnacentral:tRNA from 1 species
GGCGGUGUAGCUCAGUUGGCUAGAGCAUGCGACUCAUAUUCGCAGUGUCAGGGGUUCGACUCCCUUCACCGCUACCA